rnacentral:rRNA from 1 species
GAUGAACGCUGGCGGCGUGCCUAACACAUGCAAGUCGAGCGAACAGACGAGGAGCUUGUUCCUUUGACGUUAGCGGCGGACGGGUGAGUAACAAGUGGAUCACCUACUUAUAUGUCUGGGAGAAUAUCGGGAAACCGGUGCCAAUACUAGAUAAUAUAUUGAACCGCAUGGUUCAAUAGAUAAUGACGGCUUUGGCGUCACUAUUAGCUGGUUCCGCGCUGCAUUAGCUAGUUGGUAAGGUAACGGCUUACCAAGGCAACGAUGCGUAGCCGACCUGAGAGGGUGAUCGGCCACACUGGAACUGAGACACGGUCCAGACUCCUACGGGAGGCAGCAGUAGGGAAUCUUCCGCAAUGGGCGAAAGCUUGACGGAGCAACGCCGCGUGAGUGAUGAAGGUCUUCGGAUCGUAAAGCUCUUUUAUUGGGAAAGAACAGAUGUGGAAGUAACUAUGCCCGUCUUGACGGUACCUAAUCAAAAAGCCACGGCUAACUACGUG